CCAAAUAAGACCAGAACCGGUCCACAUACGCUUAUAAGCGUAAUAGACGUACCAAACACCCCUUUAUUUCUUCAUUUUUCUCAAAGACAGGGUUGGACUCGCCAAACCCUAGCCGCCAGAAGGGGAAAAUCCUAUCUCCUCGUCACAAUUUCUUGAAACGGCAAAAUGGCAAUGUACAAUUGCUUUACGCAGUCGUGGCUCAACUGUUUCAGGCAAGCAAUUAAUGCUCGCCUCUCUCUCUCUCCACCCGCAUCAACCAAACAUGAAUUCGGGGUUGAGGAAGCAAAAAUCUUCCAAGUUCAAAUCUCGACAAGCGGCUGGACUCAAAAGAGGUCAUUUGGGUCGUUCCCUUCUAUUCAGACCUCUUGGGCCUGAGGCCCAACUUUUAUUCAUUGAUCGAGUCCGGCAGAAAUAAGGGAAGCUAAUAUAUAUUGAAGUCCCAAUCAUGAGUAAAAAUGGUCACUGGUGGGCUUAGGUAGGCCACCAGUCCAAUUCUCCCUUUCUCUCCUUUUAUUUUACAUGUAUAUCAUGUAUGCAUAUAUGUAAAUAAAUAUGUACAAUAUUGAAACCCUAUGGAUGCUAGGACUUAGGAAAUACUUAGUAUAUUUUGGAAGUCGCCUCAAAUGAUUUUCAAACUCACUUAAUCCUUAACACAAGCAUGAAAUCGAUGUAUACAAUUUAUUGCGAAACCUUUUCAAGUAUAAA